rnacentral:misc_RNA from 1 species
GAUGAAGAACGUAGCGAAAUGCGAUAAGUAAUGUGAAUUGCAGAAUUCAGUGAAUCAUCGAAUCUUUGAACGCACCUUGCGCUCUUUGGUAUUCCGAAGAGCAUGCCUGUUUGAGUGUCAUGAAAAUAUCAACCUUGACUUGGGUUUUGUGCUCUAGUCUCGGCUUGGAAUUGGGUGCUUGCCGCUUUUACGAGCGGCUCACCUUAAAUGUAUUAGCUGGAUCUGUCUUUGAGACUUGGUUUGACUUGGCGUAAUAAGUAUUUCGCUAAGGACAUUCUUCGGAGUGGCCUCGUUUCUAGGACGCUUGUCCGCUUUCCAAUACAAGUUCCACCUCGUGGACAUGACUUGUUAUUAUCUGGCCUCAAAUCAGGUAGGACUACCCGCUGAACUUAAGCAUAUCAAUAAGCGGAGGA